rnacentral:ribozyme from 1 species
UGCCCAGCAACUCCUAUCCCUACCUCCUCGUGGUACUGGCCAGGGUACGAGUAAGGUGGGAUCUUUGGUCGUAUGCUGACAGGGAAGG